CCAAAGUUGGAAGGGCGCAAAUCGUAUUAUGGAAGGAAAUUGUCGCCCUGCGUGAGUGAAGUCGCUUUGUACUCACGCGGAGCGAGCAUCCAGCUCCAGCGUCCCCCUUCCAUAUGUCUAUAUAUUUAUUGAACAACGGAAAAAUCCUACCCCGUCCUGGGAUCUACAAUUGAAAGGGGCGAACAUCAAGCUUCUCCUCCACAUUAGGUUCAAGAUUCAAGAAAGAGAACUUAAAAAAAAAAAAACCAAGAGAAGCUGUGAUUUGAAGGGAACAUGGCUACUCCAGAUGUCACGCUUCCCCAGAUUGCGAUAAUUGGUGCAGGUAUCUUUGUGCGCACACAGUAUAUUCCUAGGCUAAGGGAGAUAGCUGAUCAUGUGAUUAUUAAAGCAAUUUGGAGUCGUAGUGAGGAAUCUGCAAAAGCUGCUGUGGAACUUGCACGUGAUUUUGCGCCACAAGUAGAAUGUAAAUGGGGUGACUCGGGCCUUGAAGAUAUUAUUCAGGAUAGUUCAAUAAAAGGAGUUGUGGUCGUCCUUGCUGGGCAAGUUCAGGUUGACAUUUCCCUGAAAAUGUUAAAGAUGGGAAAGCAUGUUAUUCAAGAGAAACCUGCUGCUGAAUCAACUAGUGAGGCGGACACUGCACUGUCACGCUAUAAAUCCCUGUGCGACCAUUUCCGCAGCCAACCAAUUUGGGCUGUUGCAGAAAAUUACCGCUUUGAACCUGCAUUUGUGGAGGCCAGGAAAUUAAUAAAUGAAAUCGGUGAUAUGAUGAACAUCCAAGUUAUUGUUGAAGGAUCAAUGAAUAGUUCGAACCCUUACUUCUCAAGCUCUUGGAGGCGAAAAUUUAUUGGUGGUUUUAUUCUAGAUAUGGGUGUACACUUCAUUGCUGGAUUGAGAAUGAUUGUUGGAUGCGAGAUUACCACAGUAUCUGCUAUUGCCCGUCAUGUGGAUAUGGCGCUGCCACCUCCUGAUAAUCUAUGUGCCCUUUUCCAACUGGAAAAUGGCUGUGCUGGGGUGUUUGUUAUGGCCGUAUCCUCAACAUCACCCAAGAUUUAUUGGCGAGUUGAUGGAUCAAAUGGAACACUUCAAAUUGAGCGUGGAAGUGAUAAUGGGCAGCAUGGCUACAUGGUUCUGUUAUAUAAGGCUGAUGGACAUUGUCAAAGAACCUUCCAUCCAUUCUCUGGAGUGAAUGAAGAAUUGAAGGCUUUUGUUCACGACAUUACGCAAGCUACCACUAAGGAGGGAGUUGCUGGCCAGAAAGCUGAACCGCGCAGUUCUUAUGUUGAAGGUGCCCGAGAUGUCGCUGUUUUAGAAGCUAUGCUUGACUCAAGCAGAAAGGAAGGAGCUCAGGUCCAUGUGAAAAAAUUCUAGGCAAAAUCAUCUUGUGCUGCAGCAGGUCAAUAUCUCUCAGAAAAGCUAAUAUCUCAGCUCCACAUUUAAUAGAUAAAGCUGCAGCUACUGGGACUUGGAUCAAAUAGUUCAUCGAUUGAUCCAGUCAGGUCUUUUAGUUGGUUCCUGGACUUACCGGAUGCAAUUGUGCGCCCUUUCAGAACCAAUGAUUCCAGUUGAUUUAUUUCAAAGCAGAAGCAUUAGGGCCUCAGUCUUUGAAAGACAAGAUACUGGGAAAUUCUCAUGGGGUUUCAGAGUACGGUAUUUUGCAUAAUUACUGCAAAAACUUUGCUUGGAGCCUGAGACAGGGAGAUCUGUGGGAGCUUAGGUGGUGCUUGGGAAAUCAGAGUGAUGAGGCUGUUGACAAUAAAAACAAUUUGCAAAUCACUUUCUGGCAUAUUAGUUGAAAUUUCAAUCAAUCGAGAAGAAAUCUAUGUUUAGUAGGUGCCAACUGAAUGGAUUGGGGAAGUCACUAAGGGUUGGUGCCACUGGCAUUUAGUCUUUUUAUACACGUGUUUGAUACAGUAAGCUGAAUUUCUUGUGUCAACAUAUGCAGCAUAAGUCGCUUUUUCUUUUCUUUUUUUCUAAGUACAUGAAUUUUAUUGAUGAAAAAUAUUCUGUUGAAAGAAUUAUUCAUUCUACAGAAGACUGAGGGAUUCGAUUGAAACAA